GCCUAUGCACACCUAGGUGAGCUUAGAGCAUUUGCCCCUCCUGGUGCUCCAAUGUUGGCUGCAACGGUUACUGUGACAGACGUUAUGAGGAAUGUGAUUGUGGAGGUUCUCGAAAUGACUGGGUGUGCUGUUGUCAGUGUAUCUCCAAAUAAGCCUAACAUCUUUUACUCAGUAAAAAAGCGCUCCUCCAGCAUUGGUGAGGACUUCGCCUUAAUCACGUCUGACCUGUUAUGUAACAAUGUUAAGGCCAAUAGAGUAAUAGUGUAUUGCCAAUCGUUGGACGUGUGUGCUAACUUGUAUAUCCACUUCAUGAGAGUCCUUGGAGAUCGUGGAUACUAUCCAUCUGGUGCUGAGCAAGUCAGUGAUAACCGUCUUUAUGGUAUGUUUCAUGCUAAGACAGACGAAUACAACAAAGACGUAAUCAUGAAGAGCCUCGCUAAUCCCAAGGGGGUGGUCCGAGUUGUAUUUGCAACAAUGGCUCUUGGUAUGGGUGUGAGCUUCACUGGACUGACGACUACCAUCCACUAUGGUGCACCGCGAUCCUUAGAUGAUUAUUUUCAGGAGAGUGGCCGUGCGGGCAGACAAGGAGAGCAAUCCACAUCAACCAUAUUUUGGAAACCCAUGGACGCUCCACUGAAGACAGAUCAGACCAUCCCUCGAAAUGUUGAAAUUGCUGCUGUGAGGAGGUUCCUUGAGAGUACAUCUGACUGUAGAAGGUACAUUUUUUUUACCCUAUUGUUGCAGCGAGCCUACAGAAACGAAACCUUAUUUUGUGCUGCGACAAUUGCAAGACUGUCAAAUAGCAAAGACGCGUGAUGUGAGCGGGGUGUAUGGCUCCAGGCGAAUCACCUCGAUAACAACAAAUUAACGAGAUGAAGGCCGUACCUCAAAGGUGUCUUGGAAACCGGCCCAACCAAUGCUUAUUCACAAUUAAUUUUAGAGUUAGAGCAGUGAUGGGCACUGGGAGUGAGAGAUAGCCAUUAUUGAUGAAGUUCAGGGUUUCAUGUGAGUUGUAUUUUAACACUCUAGUAUAACUAGAGCACUAAAGUGCAAACCCUCGGCUGGUGACAUGAUUAAAAAGAAACCAGAAAUAUAAUGCAGUGCAUAUAGUGAUGUUGUUAUCAUGUAGGACUUGCACAGCAACUCAGGAGCAAUAAAACUAAACCAGACUGGAGGCAUGCUGAAACAUUUGAGAACAGGUAGUGGUACUAUAGCACUGUGGAUUAGGAUCACAGUAAAGAAGCCUGGAGUCUCAGAGAAGUAUGGCUCCAGGUUCUGCAUGGAGUAGGAUCCCAGCCAGCAGCAAGAGCUACUAUCUAUGCUAUAAUUCAAGCUUCUACUUUAGUGACCCUGUUCCAUUGUUCCUGGUAUAUACAGCUUUCUACUUUAGUGACCCUGUUCCAUCGUUCUUGGUACAGGAUCACUUCAGUUAUAAGUAACGCAUGUGCAAGUUCUGUUCAAGCUACAUUUUGCUCGCUUUUAUUAGACAAAGGAGCUUUAACACCGAAAGCUGCCACUAUCAAAAGUACUAACUUGUUGUGUGGAGGCUACUUAUGCUGUAAACGCAGUGCUAGAACAUCCAGGUAAGCAGACCUAGUCACAAGCUUAUUCAAGCUUCUUAGCUUUUGCUCGACAAAGAAGCUUUAACAUAAAAAUCUGCCACUAUUUAAAUCAAGAUAUUGUUCUGUGAAGGCUAUCUAUGCUGUAAACGCAGCGCUGUGGCAUCCAGGUGAGUAGAUAUACCUGUGACAAACAAACAAACAAACAAACAAACAGACCAACAUACUACUAUACCCGUGGCCGCCCACGCGCGCCUCGGGUAAUUAUUAUAAACGCUCAUAUCGUAGUCUCAUCUUCCACUGUCUCUUCUUCCACUGUCUCUUCUUCUUCGCAACAUGCAUCACCAUAUUCGUCUGGUUGGAGAUUGUUGUGAUUCUUAACUUUUUGUUUUAUCCACUCUUCCAGGUUCGUGCGGUUUAGGGCCUUGAGGGGAUUUGGUGCAAACCCCGGGAAGCUUUUGUGCUCUCUGUUGUCAAUGGCUGUUAGGAUCUUGUUGACUUGUAUGCAGCCUCGGUCUGGGUAGAGCUCUCUUGUUGCUGACAUGAUGCAGCCUCUGUCUGGGUGGAGCUCUCUUGUUGGCUACUUGUACAAGCAAACUGGAUAGUUUCUGGCCUACCCUCUAGCUCCACAGCGAUUGCAGAUGAUGUCGAGGCACUGGCAUUAUGUGGACCAUCAAUGAGAAAAAGCAAGCCUUUUCCCUCGAACCCCGAUGGUACUCCUCUUUGCUGAUGGACGCGAGCUCACAGUGAAAGGAGAUGCGUCGGAACCACUCGUGUCCUUAGUCCUUUUCUUAGGGGCUGAUCUUACUGGACUACUAGGGAGCUGCUCUUUGGACACUUGUUUCUGGUAGCUACGUCUGGCCAGGAGCCUGAACACCUCUAUGGACUCUAUCUUCUUGAUACAAGAAAGACAGACAAUCUUUGACAGGCCAUCUGAAUCACUAACAGGCAGAUCCAAUGCAAGACUGAGCCUCCCUGGAAUAUCUUCUUUGAGAGCCUUACUGCUGAACAAAGGUUUAUAUCUUCUGUUUUGUAUGGCAUCAGUGCUGCAACAUAACCUACAAAGAACAAACUUAGAAGCCAUUAAAUCAAUUUUCAUUUGACCACAUGGACUUAAUAAUAAUAACGAAGUCACGCCCAGAUACAAUCAAUACCAGGCCGAGGAGGCAACCUAGCGUUCAAUUAGAGACGGAUCGGCCUGGGAUCGAGGCUAGUAUAUAUAUAGAGCUAGUGUGUUAUGGGGGGUGAUCAGUGCCAAAACCU